CCUACGGGUGGCUGCAGUGGGGAAUAUUGGACAAUGGGGGCAACCCUGAUCCAGCCAUGCCGCGUGUGUGAAGAAGGCCCUCGGGUUGUAAAGCACUUUCAGUGAGGAAGAACGCCUGGUGGUUAAUACCCAUCAGGAAAGACAUCACUCACAGAAGAAGCACCGGCUAACUCCGUGCCAGCAGCCGCGGCAAUACGGAGGGUGCGAGCGUUAAUCGGAAUUACUGGGCGUAAAGCGCGCGUAGGUGGCUUGAUAAGCCGGUUGUGAAAGCCCCGGGCUCAAACCUGGGAACGGCAUCCGGAACUGGUCAAGUAGGGGGCAGGAGGGGGAGGUAGAAAUCCCGGGGGAGGGGUGAAAUGCGGUGAGGUCGGGAGGGAUUCCAGGGGCGAAGGCGGCCCUCCGGACUGGCACUGACCCCGGGGUGCGAAAGGGUUGGUAGCAAACAGGAUUAGAUACCCCGGUAGUC
rnacentral:rRNA from 1 species